rnacentral:rRNA from 1 species
AGGCAGGUGUAGAGGUGCUGCAUGGCUGUCGUCAGCUCGUGUCGUGAGAUGCUGGGUUAAGUCCCGCAACGAGCGCAACCCCUGCCCUUAGUUGCCAUCGGGUCACGCCGGGAACUCUAAGGGACGCCCCGGACAACGGGGAGGAAGGUGGGGAUGACGUCAAGUCAGCAUGGCCUUUAUGUCCAGGGCUACACACGUGCUACAAUGGUUGGUACAAAGGGUUGCCAAGCCGUGAGGCGGAGCCAAUCUCAAAAAGCCAACCUCAGUUCGGAUUGCAGUCUGCAACUCGACUGCAUGAAGUUGGAAUCGCUAGUAAUCGCUGAUCAGCAGGCAGCGGUGAAUACGUUCUCGGGCCUU